rnacentral:rRNA from 1 species
UACAGAGGUCCCAAGCGUUGUUCGGAUUCACUGGGCGUAAAGCGCACGUAGGCGGCUUUCUAAGUCAGGGGUGAAAUCCUGGAGCUCAACUCCAGAACUGCCUUUGAUACUGGAGAGCUAGAGUCCGGAAGAGGUGAGUGGAACUGCGAGUGUAGAGGUGAAAUUCGUAGAUAUUCGCAAGAACGCCAGUGGCGAAGGCGGCUCACUGGCCCGGUACUGACGCUGAGGUGCGAAAGCGUGGGGAGCAAACAGG